rnacentral:misc_RNA from 1 species
UUUCCGUAGGUGAACCUGCGGAAGGAUCAUUAACACUAAUCCGUCUCAACUCAACCAAGCCUUCAGUUGCAGCAGUAGCUUGGCCUCGUGCGGUGCCGCUGAUGCAGCAACACAAACUUAAUUACGCAAAGGAGCAUAACUAAGCUCAACAACAAAUCCAAAUUCUCAACGAUGGAUAUCUUGGUUCCC